rnacentral:rRNA from 1 species
AACUCGGCAAAAUGACCCCGUAACUUAGGGAUAAGGGGUGCCACCAUCAGGUGGCCGCAGAGAAUAGGCCCAAGCGACUGUUUACCAAAAACAUAGGUUUCUGCUAAGUCGCAAGACGAUGUAUAGGCGCUGACGCCUGCCCGGUGCUGGAAGGUUAAGGGGAUCUGUUAGAGCAAUCGAAGCAGUGAACUUAAGCCCCAGUAAACGGCGGCCGUAACUAUAACGGUCCUAAGGUAGCGAAAUUCCUUGUCGGGU